UUCCUUGUGGUCUAGUGGUUAGGACUCCACACUCCCACUGUCAAGGGCCUGGGUUCAAUCCCUGGUCAGGGAA
rnacentral:tRNA from 1 species